CAAGGAACAACUGACUUAGCAUAAGGUCAAGAAGCAGAUUCUGCUGGUAAUACUGCCUCUCCUAGUGUCUCUCAGUAUAGAGAGCAAAGUCCACAGGUCUGGAGAUGGGAGGCUAUCAGGAAAGGCCUUCCGAUGUAUGCAGUCAUAAGACCUCUACAGCAAGAAAGAGCACUCACAGCCUACGCAGCUGGGAUACCUUCCUCCCUCUGCAGUGGAUGUGCACUUUCUCCUGCUAAAACAUACACACCAUAUGGCACCUGGUCAUCCCGGAGCUGUAGCUCUUCCCAUUGAGGAGGGAAGAGCGCCUUCCUCUCAGCACAAGGUGCACACUGUCUCUCUACCUUCAUGGACUGCCCUGAUGCACUAGUGUUUGGCAAUGAGAGAUUGGCAUUUAGAACAAAAGCAGAUCUUGUCUGUGUCUUCUUCAUGUGAAUAAAGCAUUGUUCAUCCGGGGA